AAAGUACAAAAGACCAGAUGCUAACCAGUUUCUUUCCAUACAUUUUAGGCUACAUAACGGCGAGGCAUUCUUUCCAUGGUUACUAGACAUGGUUAGUCCAAACCUCCA